rnacentral:rRNA from 1 species
CCUACGGGAGGCAGCAGUAGGGAAUAUUGCUCAAUGGGCGAAACCCUGAAGCAGCAACGCCGCGUGGAGGAUGAAGGUUUUAGGAUUGUAAACUCCUUUUGUUAGAGAAGAUUAUGACGGUAUCUAACGAAUAGUCACCGGCUAACUCCGUGCCAGCAGCCGCGGUCAUACGGAGGGUGCAAGCGUUACGCGGAAGCACUGGGCGUAAAGGGUGCGUAGGCGGGGUAAUAAGUCAGAUGUUAAAUCCUGUAGCUUAAAUACAGAACUGAAUUUGAAACUAUUAAUCUGGAGUGUGGGAGAGGUAGGUGGAAUUCUUGGUGUAGGGGUAAAAUCCGUAGAGAUAAAGAAGAAUACUCAUUGCGAAGGCGACCUACUGGAACAAUACUGACGCUGAUGCACGAAAGCGUGGGGAGCAAACAGGAUUAGAUACCCGGGUAGUC